UUCUUUGUAGUGACCGCAGCACUAAUGCUGACCAAAAACCAUCAUGGGCAGUGUGUGUUUAACUGUUAGUAAGAAAUAGAUGGGAGUUAGUGCAGCGGUUGCACCAGGACCUUUAAGCUGUGGGAGAAUAAUCUUGUGUCGAACUGGGCUGGUGGAAGGUGUUGAUGAUGUAAACAGGAGGCUCUCUCAAAGGUCGCCCGAGGCAUGCUAAUAAGCUGCCUGUCCUGCAGGGAUAAAAAGGGCUGAGGAGCUUCAGUCAGUGGGAAAACAUCACCUUUACUGUGGCCAGGAGAAAAGAAGCUGGACAUAAUGCUCUUCUGGCACUCUCAACCAGAAACAUAUGAGCAAAGGACACAGCCCGGGUCUAUACGUGAAGCACUUGCACCCUUCAUGAAGCAUGAGACCAAGGGGCUGUCUGCUGGGAACACGACCCCCUUGGCCCCCUUUCAGUAUGUUCUGUGUGCAGCCACGUCCCCUGCAGCCAAACUUCAAGAUGAAAUGCUCACCUACCUAAACCAAGGUCAGUCCUAUGAAAUCCGUUUGCUCAACAGAAAACUAGCGGCGUAUUCACACAUAAGCAGCAAAUGUGUAAAGAGCAUUGUGCGUGUGGUGUUUCACGAUCGGCGUCUUCAGUAUACUGAGCGCACGCAGCUGGAGGGAUGGAGGUGGAACCGGCCAGGAGACAGAAUUCUUGAUAUCAAUAUUCCUCUGUCAGUGGGGAUAAUAGAGCCUCGUGCACACCCACUGCAGCUCAACACCAUUGAGUUUCUCUGGAAUCCUGUGAAAAACGCCUCAGUAUUCAUUCAGGUAAACUGCAUCAGCACGGAGUUUACACUCAGGAAACAUGGCGGGGAGAAAGGAGUCCCGUUCCGUAUUCAGGUGGAUACUUUCACACAGAAUGAACAUGGAGAAUACCUGGAGCAUGUGCACUCCUGCAGCUGCCAAAUCAAAGUCUUCAAGCCAAAGGGAGCAGAUCGCAAACUGAAGACGGACAGAAAGAAGAUUGAGAAGAAGAGUCUUGUAGACAGGGAAAAAUAUCAGCCAUCCUAUGAAACCACUAUACUUACUGAGUACUCUCCCUGGCCUGAUUGCCCAUCCAUCAACGACAUGAGCAAUGCUCUGUCAGCCGUAUGUCAUAGCUCGACCACUUCAUACGGCUUCACAGACACAUAUUGCUCUCCAAACCAGCAGGGGGUGCUACUCCUGCCCAGCUGCUCUGAUCCGCUUCUGCCAUCUUUUUAUCCUCAGGAAACACAGGAGUGGCUCCACAGGAACAGAUUUGCUCCAUUCUGUAGGCUCUUCUCCAGAUUCUCAGGUGCUGAUUUGCUGAGGAUGAGUAGAGAUGACUUCAUUCAGAUUUGUGGUCCUGCGGAUGGGAUCCGCCUGUUUAACAACAUCAAAGGAAGGUGUAUACAGCCACGUCUCACCAUGUAUGUGACCCUACAGAAGAACAAGAGUCAGCCACACAAUAAGCUAGGUGGUGAUGAGGGUAAAGAAAAAAGUCAAGUGAAGUUAAUUAUUCUAGGAAUUAGCCAAAAAUGACCUCAGAUGACAUCACUGUUCAUGUUCUGUUCUGAUUUGUCCUAAGUGUACCAUGCUCUCCACCUGGAUGACUUAACUCUACUUGAGCUUACUGAGAAAAUAGCCAACUUAUACAGUGUUCCUGCAAGACAAAUCUGCCAUGUCUACAAGCAAGGGCCAACAGGGAUACAUAUCCUUGUUUCAGAUGAGCACUACCAUACUCUGCUCACCUUUUUCAGAUGGUGCAGAAUUUCACUGAGGAGACCAGCUUCAUAAUCAGCACUCUAAAAGUGAUGAAAGAUGAAAGGAACGAGGGAUACCAUGUAGUAUUGAAGUGAAGUGUGAAGUUAACAGCUACAGGAGCAUCUCAGGUUUACAGUUGGGAUAUUUGAAAUUUCUGUUAUUUUAAUGUCUGAAACUUUAUACAAUGUACAUCUAUAGAUGUAAUUGUGGAUUACAGUCACAUAGAUUCAAUGGGGGUAGACCUCUGGAUCAAGUGUAAAAUUGCACAUUGAAAAUACCUUAUCACCUGUAACCCUCAGUAAUGACAUGAUCUGUUUCAUGCAGGAGACUCAAUAAAAUUUAAUCACAAUUCUAUGUUGAGGCAUUUUGUAUAAUGAGCAGAAAACAGCUGACAAAAGCUGCUAUAGUAUAUCCGUCUCUGCAGACCCUUAAUAAGAUCUAGAGUCUUCACCUGUUUGCACUGGUCAGACUAAAGCGAAAUAAGAUUUUUUUUCAUUUAUAGCAUUUGUUUGUUUGAAACAACUUCAUGUUUUUACAUAUUAAGUCAUUUUAAUAGGGGUGUAAUUAUGCACAAAAUUAUUAUUUACCAUAGUGUCUUUCUUUUGUUUUUGUUUACAUAAAUAAUGUGUUCCUGUAUAUAUCUUAUACUUGCAUGUGUGUGCAUUAGAGGGGUAACAAUGCACAUGUUUUCAGUUCCUAUAUGAUUUUAAUGAUGUAAAGAUUUGCACUUCAGUGUUCAUUACCACAUUUAUCAUUUGCCAUUUAGCAAGCAAGCAAGCAAAGUUUAUUUAUAUAGCACUUCUUACAACAGGUCACAAAGCAGCUUUACAGAAAAAAAAAAUCAGCAUUACAGAAAGAAAAUCCGGGCCCAAGCCCCCAUGAGCAAGCCAGUCGCAUCAUUUACCUCAUUUACCACAUUGGACAUUUUGCACUGUAGCGUAACAUGCUGUCUUCAUGAGAGAGGAUCUGUUCAGAGAUGUAUUUUCUGUAUUUGCUUUUCAACUAUUAUCCAGAAAAUAUGCAUUAUACACUAAAUAAAUAUGUAAUUAUAAAACCAA